UCUGCAGCGGAUGCAGACACCCACACUCCCGCCCGAAGAGGUAUACAACGAGACACUCACACGUGAUAGCCACAUCAACGACUGCGCUCUCCGCCUCUCUCGUCCCAACACCGCUAAACAUAUCUUCCUUUCAGCGAAUUUUUACUUCGCUGCUGCAGGUGCAACCCCCGACUCGGGGAAAGGAGAGACAACAAAGCAAGGACAGCCUUAGACGACGUUGGGGGGGGGGCUUGCCCUGUUUGCACAACUCCUCACCCGCCUGACCGCACUUCUCGCUUCUUCUUUCCCAAUGCGCACCACCGCCGGGCCCGCUUGGACAGCGGGCACGGGCAUCAAUCGCGCCACCAUUGCCGGUGGCGCGAUUGAGGCGGCGGCUGGCGGGGACGCGUCCUACACAGCCAAGGCACAACACGCCCUCUCCCUCUUCGCGAACCUGCAGGCAAACAUGCGCACCUCGGCUUCGCCACAGUCGUCCGAGCCUGCAGCGCACUCAACCUCGGAAACCCGAGCAUCGUCGGCGACGGCGCAUCGCACCACCGCUCCAUCUAGCCACAAACACGCGCUAGACACCCAUGGUCGGCUGACCUCGUCCACGCCCGCUGCAACUCCGAAUGCUGGUGCGGCGCGCUUCAGCAGCCUGCACAGCCUCCAACGCGUCGACUGCAGCGACAGAGCCGACGACGCUGCCGCGCUGCAGACGUACACGGAUGCCGAGCUCGAGUCUCUCUCGCCACUUCAGCUGCGUCAACAACUGCGCGUCGCCGCAGCCGUGACCCAGCGUCUUCGCCAACGAUCGCGACGACUGGAGAGCGAAGUGGAAGCAUGGACGCACAAGUACGCGGAGCUCGAAGCCAAGGCGGCGGGAGUGCGAGACGCUGAUGGGGAAGAGGGGAGCGCCAAAGAGCGCCAGGCACCUUCGGCCUCACGACUAAACGGUGACCAUUCCUGCCGACCCACAGUGGUCUCAUCGGCUUCGAAAGCUGCAGCACCUGCGACUCCCUCGGCCGAGGGCGCUGCGGCUCACUCGCGUCAGCUAGAGACCGAGGUGAGGCGACUGGAGGCACACAAGGAGGAACUGACAAGGAGACUGUACGCAGCCGAGAAAACCGUCCGGGAGCUGAGGGAGGAGCUCCGCGUUGCGGCGGCCGCUUCUCCUGCGACUACCCACUCCGCCUCGUCGCCGCCCGCUGCGGUCAACGCCACCACCUGCGAAAACGCCCCUGACAAAUCCAGACCCGAGACAUGGAAGAGCGGGGCAGCGGCAGCACCACCGGCACAGGCGCCACCGAGCUGGAGGGACGCCGAAACGAAGGGCGAGAGGAUGGACCGCUGCAGCAACGGUACCGUUGAGGGUGAUGCGGCUGGCGAGAACUCGGUCGCUCAUUUGCGCGACACCGUGCGCCAGCUGCAGCGCCGUCUUGAUCUGUCGGAGGCGCGAGCCAGGGAGGCGAUCCAGGUCCACCUGGAUGCGGUGCUGCUCCACCGUGAGUCGACUCCGUCCGCGGUGGCCCUUGUGAACGCAGAAGUGCACAAACUCUUCCAGCUGAUGCAGCAGCAGCUCUUGUCGAACGCGGUACAGCAUCAGGCGGAGCGAGCCCGCAUGAACGAGCUGCUUUACCACUUGCAAUGCCAGCAGCAUGCACCGUAGAAGAACGCGCAGACACAGGCAUGCACAUACACACGUGCCUCUCUCCGUCUCCGUCGGCCUUGCUUCAUCCGCUCGCCAUUCACUAUCGUAUACAGCACGCCGCACAGCACAUACGCCGGCAGACACGCACGCACGCAUGACGGUGCCGCGCGCACACUUCCUCGAAAGUGUGUACGCACGCCCGAGGAGGCGUCACGCUAUCGCCGUGAGAUGGCUUUGGUACGCCAGCCAUGGUUGUAGGCUGAGCGAGAGUGGAAGGUGGGGGACACUAACGCAUGGGCACUACUCCUGUC
rnacentral:misc_RNA from 1 species